UGGGGAAUAUUGCACAAUGGGCGCAAGCCUGAUGCAGCCAUGCCGCGUGUGUGAAGAAGGCCUUCGGGUUGUAAAGCACUUUCAGCGAGGAGGAAGGGUAGUGUGUUAAUAGCACAUUGCAUUGACGUUACUCGCAGAAGAAGCACCGGCUAACUCCGUGCCAGCAGCCGCGGUAAUACGGAGGGUGCAAGCGUUAAUCGGAAUUACUGGGCGUAAAGCGCACGCAGGCGGUUUGUUAAGUCAGAUGUGAAAUCCCCGCGCUUAACGUGGGAACUGCAUUUGAAACUGGCAAGCUAGAGUCUUGUAGAGGGGGGUAGAAUUCCAGGUGUAGCGGUGAAAUGCGUAGAGAUCUGGAGGAAUACCGGUGGCGAAGGCGGCCCCUGGACAAAGACUGACGCUCAGGUGCGAAAGCGUGGGGAGCAAACA
rnacentral:rRNA from 1 species